rnacentral:rRNA from 1 species
GGCUCAGGCGGGACCACC